GCUCAUAUCCAAUGCUGUCAUAGUGUCUACUGGCAACCCCAACUCAACAAACCUGAACCAACCGGUCAACCUCACCUUCCGUCACCUGGAGUUGGCUGACAAGGACCCCAACUGUGUUUAUUGGUCAGAAGAGAAUGGGACGUGGUCUAGGCAGGGCUGCAACUUGGUGAUAACAAAUGCCACCCACACUUUAUGCUCCUAUAACCAUCUCAGCACUUUCUCUUUGCUACAAGGACUACAACAGGAAAAGCUUUCCAGAGUAAUGUGGACGGGCAUUCUCGUGGCACUGGCCUGUGUGGUCCUAUCCCUGACCACGGCCCUGCUGUGUCGUUUUGCCAGCAG